GAAAUGCGAUAAGUAAUGUGAAUUGCAGAAUUCAGUGAAUCAUCGAAUCUUUGAAUGCACCUUGCGCUCCUUGGUAUUCCUUGGAGCAUGCCUGUUUGAGUAUCAUGAAAUCUUCAAAGUAAAUCUUUUGUUAACUCAAUUGGUUUCUACUUUGGUAUUGGAGGUCUUUGCAGCUUCACACCUGCUCCUCUUUGUUCAUUAGCUGGAUCUCAGUGUUAUGCUUGGUUCCACUCGGCGUGAUAAGUUAUCUAUCGCUGAGGACACUGUAAAAGGUGGCCAAGGUAAAUGCAGAUGAACCGCUUCUAAUAGUCCAUUGACUUGGACAAUACUUUUAUGAUCUGAUCUCAAAUCAGGUAGGACUACCCGCUGAACUUAAGC
rnacentral:misc_RNA from 1 species